rnacentral:rRNA from 1 species
UAAUACGGAGGGUGCAAGCGUUGCUCGGAAUUAUUGGGCGUAAAGGGUAGGUAGGUGGUCUCAUUUGUCUGGGGUGAAAGCCUUGAGCUUAACUCAAGAAGUGCCCCAGAAACGGUGAGACUGGAGUCCUGGAGAGGGUCGUGGAAUUCCCGGUGUAGCGGUGAAAUGCGUAGAGAUCGGGAGGAACACCAGAGGCGAAAGCGGCGACCUGGACAGGUACUGACACUCAACUACGAAAGCGUGGGGAGCAAACAGGAUUAGAUACCCUGGUAGUCCACGCUGUAAACGAUGGGUACUAGGUUUGGUGGGUCUUGACCCCCGCCGAACCGGCGCUAACGCACUAAGUACCCCGCCUGGGAAGUACGGUCGCAAGACUA